UACGAAGGGGGGCUAGCGUUGCUCGGAAUCACUGGGCGUAAAGGGUGCGUAGGCGGGUCUUUUAAGUCAGGGGUGAAAUCCUGGAGCUCAACUCCAGAACUGCCUUUGAUACUGAAGAUCUUUGAGUCCGGGAGAGGUGAGUGGAACUGCGAGUGUAGAGGUGAAAUUCGUAGAUAUUCGCAAGAACACCAGUGGCGAAGGCGACUCACUGGUCCGGUACUGACGCUGAGGUGGCGAAAGCGUGGGGAGC
rnacentral:rRNA from 1 species